ACUUAAGCAAACAAAAUUAAGAGCGUUUAGGAGGACUGUUUUUCAUUGUCUCCUUCCAGCCAUCGCAUGAGCAAAUUGCACCGCACAGCUUAACUACAGGAAAGCCCAUGCGAAGGCAAACUCUUUGACAGCGCUAAAGACAGGACAAAAGAAAAGAUAAAAUACAGAUAUGGCAUGAGGAACAAAGGAAAACUGCACUUGGAGCAGUGAGAGACAACGAAAAUCAGGCACGUUUACCAGGGUUUACUCCCUCCCGUCCACAGCGCUCCCUGCGAGAACGUCUGCGCUUCAACCGCAGUGACUCCGCUCUCAACCAGCUCCCUUAGGGCUGCUGACGGCAGGCAGAAGGCACCUCCUGCUCCCCGCCGGCACUCUCUCGGGCAGCCUGACACCCUGCAGCCGCAAGCUUUAUUACAAUUUAUUCAUGCAUAAAGUGCCCGAGCCUGGGAGGCUGUGUGCCCUCGGAGGAAGCCUGGGACAAGUGACAGCACCAACGCACCGCUCGCCCCGCCGGGACAACCGCUCUGCGACCGAGCGAUGGCUCUGCAUGCUGCAGUGAAAUACGAGGUUUCACUUCCAGCGCGGGGGGGGGAUGGAUUCUGCAGCGAUGCUGUGUUACAGUGACUCCAUUCCCAUUAUCCCAAACAACAGCUAGAUAUCGAAUCGUUUUAAUCGGAUAGAUGUUGGCAGGCAACAGUGAUAAGUUGCUCACUGUACCGUUAUUCGCCUGCUACAUCCCGGCUGCCUUUGAAAACAGGCCUAUUACAAGCCCCAGCUAAACAGGAGACUAAUGUAUCCACAAUAUUACAGCUCUUCUUCCUGAUGUCUUAUGAGCAAAUUGCUUCCCGAUGGCUGAAUUUGUAUUGUUUAGCACUUAGCCGUGAAUAAAUUGAGGCAGCCUUCCCUCUGCAAACAGCCGGGCAAGCUGGCACGAGCUCUGCUUGCAAGAGCUGAGAACAAGUGACUGCAUUUUAACAUGUCUCGUCCUAGAUAAUAAACCGCUUUAUUCUAAGUACUUUUCAGCAAAUCCGUGGCAGCCGCUAAACCACUUAAUGGAAUACACGGUCCUUAACCAGCAUCAAAGAGCAAUGGCUAUGACUUACACUCUUUUCUGGCAGUUUUACAUGAUGUGCUUGUAUCUACCGUGUAAAUGCUAAAAUGGGACAGCCAAAAGAAAGCCCUAGCUGGGAAUCUGCUCCUGCUCUUCCAGGCGCACAGCGGCAGCAUCCCUCACCCAGCACGCUGUGGACCACGGCUCACCUUGGCCUGACUUUCACCAAGCUGCACACAGGGAGCUCCUGGCUUUAGCAAACCACGUCCCCACCGGUGACAGGAGGCUAUUCUGCGGUCUGAAGGGUGACCUUUCCUUACUGAACACUCUGGUCUGUGUGCAAGCAGCGCAUCAUCCCUCGGGGUGGUUUCUCCCAGCUGGCAGGGAGGAUUCAGCAACCAGCUCCCAACACAGAGAGAUCCACUGCUCCUACACGCUUCGCCGUGGAGCAGCUUGACAACAUCUAGCCCCGACAUUUGCUUGCUGGGAUGGAGAGGACUGGGGAGGAAGAGGAGGGAUGAGAGGAACGGUGUGAAGAACGUGUUGACUGUCAGGACAGCUCACCUGACAUGACCUUACCCUCUUAAAAGCAAACACUAAAGAUUUAUAUUCUCUCUUUUUUUAAGUCGUAUUAAAUCCAGAGUACUGUGUUAAUAGCAUCGUUCUGUGGAUGGCAAACACUGUAUUUCGGUGUAUGUUAAAUACUUCCUUCUCGUGUCUGUGCUUGUAUUAGAACAGCGCACAGAGACUUCACCUAAGAUUGGUGGCCACUGUGAUAAGGACAAGUCGAACAUAUCAUAUGUUGUUUGAAACCAGGCUUAAGAAUCAACAAACACUGGGCAAGACAGACAAAAAAAUGGAGAAAAAAAUGUUCCUCUCAUCUGACGGAUCAGGGACAAAGGCACAGAGAAAGGAAGCGCUAAAUGUCAGACAGGAAAACGGUGGACAAACCACGUUCUAGUCCACCACCUUCAUCACCGGUGUAUCAUCCCUGCCACGGGGAGCGUGCGGCUCUGAGGACAUCUCCAAGGUUCCCGCCUGCAGAAGCGCUGGGCGAGAAGGGCACAGCUCAUAGAUUGGUUUGCCAUCCCCAAGCAGACUGUGAAUUUAGAUUCAACCUCACAGGAGAGAGGUAGUAUUUGCUCCAAGUACGGCAACAGUCUCAGCAGCCACAUUAUCACAGCGGGAGAAGACAGGUUAAAGUGUGAACAAGCUGACACAUUGCUCUGAAACAAUAAAUACAAAAUUCCUACCUUAGAGCUGUGGUAUUUAUGUGCAUAACCGCAUUACAACUGAUGGAGUUACAAGCACAUGCUGUAGAUUAACGUGAGAAUAUAACUCUAAGCACAUGGAUUUUUGACAGUGCAUUUACUGAGCACCUAGUCAUGCAACUUUAUUCUUAUACUGACACUUAAAAUCUCCUGCCUCUUAAGAAGAAAUGACAGACCUAUAAAAUCAAAUUGAUUGGACAAAGAUCUCCAGGCAAAUUAAUCAGUUUUAAAAUCAAUUACAUUCUACAAUGGGUGACAGUUCACACUGUUAAUAGGAUUAAUUUGUGGUUAGAGAUUGAUCUAGCAAACAGAUAAAAACAAUUAUAUGUACAUAUAGAUAUAAAACUAUAUGUAAGUAUCCACUGUUGAACCCAAACUCCUGAAAUAAUUAACUUCAAAUGAAUUGCAAGUAUUGAGCGUUUUCAACGCUCAAGCUCAGUAAUACUAGUCCUAGUAUAAAACAAAUAUUUUAACUAUCCAGAUGGCAGUAGCUGACAUUUGCAGAUGCUGGGAUGGUACCAGAGGCACGUGGAGUAUACCAGAGCAAACACGGCAAUCGACCUCUGCCUUAAAUGGGUAGAUACAAUACAAAGGUUAUUUCACCUUGCUAUGACUAAUAACGACAAAUGUCAGAACAUUAACUUCCCACUUCACCACCACUUGCUACAAAUUUCUGUAUAUUAUUAUACAGUUUCUGCAAAGAGGACUUUUACUGAUGUCACUGGACAGUGGAGAACCACGAACAAUGUUGUAAUUCCUCUUUAGCUGCUCUUCAGGUGUGCUGCCCCCUCCCUGCCACACUCAAACCUCGGGACCUUCUGGUCCCAGUUCACAAAAGGAUCGGAUGCUAAAGAGCACUUAAAUUCUUAAGUCUCAUGGAUUGCCAUCAAACCUGGGCUUAGUAUUUUGUCUGAACCAGCGGUUAGAUUAUGCAUUGACAACAAAAAUUAAUUCUAUCAUCUAAAUAUUUUUUUAUCUAUUGCUAAGCCCUAGGAUUUUUUUAAUAAUAACUGAGGGAAGUACUGUUAAUCAGCAAAGUACGUAUGCACUUGCUUCACUAAGUCCUAAAUCAGGGUCCUACUCUUGAGUCCGAAUAAAAAAGCAUUUACGUGUAUGCUUAAUUUUAAGCACAGAACUUUAACACGACUAAUCAGGUAAUUACAGUUGUGCUCUAGCUUAAGUGCUUUGCUUGAUCAGAGCAUUGACUUGCAAUUCUUUUUAAGAGCUCUGCACUGUAAAUUCGUGAUUGUCUCUGAAGCAACUGUUGUCACAUUGUCCAUCACAUUCUCAUAUUCCAAUUUCUUUCUUUUUUUAAAACA